GAGUUUGAUCCUGGCUCAGAGCGAACGUUAGCGGCGGGCCUAACACAUGCAAGUCGAACGGGCAGUAGCAAUACUGUCAGUGGCGCACGGGUGAGUAACGCGUAGAUAAUCUACCUUCCAGCGGGGGAUAACGUUCCGAAAGGAACGCUAAUACCGCAUAAGACCACGGGUUCUUCGGGGCCUGCGGGAAAAGGUGGCCUCUCCUUGGAAGCUAUCACUGGAAGAUGAGUCUGCGUCCCAUCAGCUAGUUGGUGAGGUAAUGGCUCACCAAGGCAAAGACGGGUAGCUGGUCUGAGAGGAUGAUCAGCCACACUGGUACUGGAACACGGACCAGACUCCUACGGGAGGCAGCAGUGGGGAAUAUUGGACAAUGGGGGCAACCCUGAUCCAGCCAUGCCGCGUGAGUGAAGAAGGCCUCGGUUGU
rnacentral:rRNA from 1 species